CAAGCAUUAAAUUUUUUACUUGAAUUAUUGACAUAAAAUAACUGCUUAUAAAUUAAGGAAGAAUUUUUCGAAGGGUGAAUAUUGCGUAAGUAAAUUUUGUGUAACCACAUGAAUUUU
rnacentral:ncRNA from 1 species